rnacentral:rRNA from 1 species
CCUACGGGUGGCUGCAGUGGGGAAUAUUGCACAAUGGGCGCAAGCCUGAUGCAGCCAUGCCGCGUGUGUGAAGAAGGCCUUCGGGUUGUAAAGCACUUUCAGCGGGGAGGAAGGCGGUGCGGUUAAUAACCUCAUCGAUUGACGUUACCCGCAGAAGAAGCACCGGCUAACUCCGUGCCAGCAGCCGCGGUAAUACGGAGGGUGCAAGCGUUAAUCGGAAUUACUGGGCGUAAAGCGCACGCAGGCGGUCUGUCAAGUCGGAUGUGAAAUCCCCGGGCUCAACCUGGGAACUGCAUUCGAAACUGGCAGGCUAGAGUCUUGUAGAGGGGGGUAGAAUUCCAGGCGUAGCGGUGAAAUGCGUAGAGAUCUGGAGGAAUACCGGUGGCGAAGGCGGCCCCCUGGACAAAGACUGACGCUCAGGUGCGAAAGCGUGGGGAGCAAACAGGAUUAGAUACCCCGGUAGUC